CGCCUUAUACUCCUACGGGAGGCAGCAGUGGGGAAUUUUGGACAAUGGGGGCAACCCUGAUCCAGCAAUGCCGCGUGAGUGAAGAAGGCCUUCGGGUUGUAAAGCUCUUUUGUCAGGGAAGAAACGGUAGUAGCUAAUAUCUAUUACUAAUGACGGUACCUGAAGAAUAAGCACCGGCUAACUACGUGCCAGCAGCCGCGGUAAUACGUAGGGUGCAAGCGUUAAUCGGAAUUACUGGGCGUAAAGCGUGCGCAGGCGGUUGUGUGAGUCAGAUGUGAAAUCCCCGGGCUCAACCUGGGAAUCGCAUUUGAGACUGCACGGCUAGAGUGUGUCAGAGGGGGGUAGAAUUCACGUGUAGCAGUGAAAUGCGUAGAUAUGUGGAGGAAUACCGAUGGCGAAGGCAGCCCCCUGGGAUAACACUGACGCUCAUGCACGAAAGCGUGGGGAGCAAACAGGAUUAGAAACCCCGAGUAGUCCACGUACCA
rnacentral:rRNA from 1 species